rnacentral:pre_miRNA from 14 species
GCCGGCUCUGGGCCCAUCUUCCAGCACAGUGUUGGAUGGUCUAAUCAUGAAGCUCCUAACACUGUCUGGUAAAGAUGGCCCCCGGGCCGGUU